rnacentral:rRNA from 1 species
GAUGAACGCUGGCGGCGUGCCUAAUACAUGCAAGUCGAGCGAACAGACGUGGAUUUUGUUCCUCUUACGUUAGCGGCGGACGGGUGAGUAACACGUGAAUCACCUACCUAUUAGCCCGGGCUAACUUCGGGACAUCGGAGCUAAUACCUGAUUACAUAUUGAACUGCAUGGUUCAAUAGUGAAAGGCAGACUUGCUGUCAGUUAUUGAUGGAUCCCCGCCGCAUUAGCUUGUUGGUAAGGUGACGGUUUACCAAGGCAACGAUGCGUAGUCGACCCGGGAGGGUGAUCGGCGACAGUGGCACUGGGACAGGGUCCAGACUCCUACGGGAGGCGGAAGUAGGGGAUCGUCCGAAAUGGGAGAGGGCCGGACGGAGAAACGCCGAGGGAGUGAUGAGGGUCUUCGGAUCGGGAUUCUCUGUUAUUAGGGACGGACAAGUGUGUAAGUAGCUAUGCGGGUGGUGACGGUACCUAAAGAAAAAGCCACGGCUAACUACGUG